rnacentral:rRNA from 1 species
UAAAAAGCACGUGAAAUUGUUGAAAGGGAAGCGCUUGCGACCAGACUCGCUCGCGGGGUUCAGCCGGCACUCGUGCCGGUGUACUUCCCCGCGGGCGGGCCAGCGUCGGUUUGGGCGGUCGGUCAAAGGCCCUCGGAAGGUAACGCCCCUCGGGGCGUCUUAUAGCCGAGGGUGCAAUGCGACCUGCCCAGACCGAGGAACGCGCUUCGGCUCGGACGCUGGCAUAAUGGUCGUAAGCGACCC